GAUGAACGCUGGCGGCGUGCCUAAUACAUGCAAGUCGAGCGAACAGAUGAGGAGCUUGCUCCUCGGACGUUAGCGGCGGACGGGUGAGUAACACGUGGAUAACCUACCUAUAAGACUGGGAUAACUUCGGGAAACCGGCGCUAAUACCGGAUAAUAUAUUGAACCGCAUGGUUCAAUAGUGAAAGACGGUUUUGCUGUCACUUAUAGAUGGAUCCGCGCCGCAUUAGCUAGUUGGUAAGGUAACGGCUUAUCAAGGCAACGAUGCGUAGCCGACCUGAGAGGGUGGUCGGCCACACUGGAACUGAGACAGGGUCCAGACUCCUACGGGAGGCAGCAGUAGGGAAUCUUCCGCAGUGGGCGAAAGCCUGACGGAGCGACGCCGCGUGAGUGAUGAAGGUCUUCGGAUCGUAAAACUCUGUUAUUAGGGAAGAACAAAUGUGUAAGUAACUAUGCACGUCUUGACGGUACCUAAUCAGAAAGCCACGGCUAACUACGUG
rnacentral:rRNA from 1 species